rnacentral:rRNA from 1 species
GACGAACGCUGGCGGCGUGCCUAAUACAUGCAAGUCGAACGAGUGGCGGACGGGUGAGUAAUAUGUCGGAACGUGCCCCGUAGGGGGGGAUAACUACUCGAAAGAGUGGCUAAUACCGCAUACUAUUGGAGCGGCCGAUAUCGGAUUAUCUAGUUGGUGGGGUAAAGGCUCACCAGGGCAACGAUCCGUAGCUGGUCUGAGAGUACGACCAGCCACACGGGGAUGGAGCCACGGCCCAGCCUCCUACGGGAGUCAGCAUUGGGGAACUUUGGACAAUGGGGGAAACCCUGCUCCAGCCAUCCCGCGUGUAUGAGAAGGCCUUCGGGUUGUAAAGUACUUUUGGCAGAGAGGCGGUAUCUGCAGAAUAAGCACCGGCUAACUACGUGCCAGCAGCCGCGGUAAUAC